rnacentral:rRNA from 1 species
CCUACGGGAGGCAGCAGUGGGGAAUUUUGCGCAAUGGGGGCAACCCUGACGCAGCAAUACCGCGUGAGUGAAGAAGGUUUUCGGAUCGUAAAGCUCUGUUAUUGGGGAAGAAGAAGUGACGGUACCCAAUGAGGAAGUCCCGGCUAAUUACGUGCCAGCAGCCGCGGUAAUACGUAAGGGACGAGCGUUGUCCGGAAUCACUGGGCGUAAAGGGCGCGUAGGCGGUUUUAUAAGUCAGAUGUGAAAGGUACUGGCUCAACCGGUGACGUGCAUUUGAAACUGUAAGACUUGAGUACUGAAGAGGCAAGCGGAAUUCCUAGUGUAGCGGUGAAAUGCGUAGAUAUUAGGAAGAACACCGGUGGCGAAGGCGGCUUGCUGGGCAGAUACUGACGCUGAGGUGCGAAAGCAUGGGGAGCGAACAGGAUUAGAUACCCUGGUAGUCCAUGCCGUAAACGAUGAAUACUAGGUGUUGGCAGUUAUGUCAGUGCCACAGUUAACACAAUAAGUAUUCCGCCUGGGGAGUACGUCCGCAAGGAUGAAACUCAAAGGAAUUGACGG